CCUACGGGUGGCAGCAGUGAGGAAUAUUGGUCAAUGGGCUUACGCCUGAACCAGCCAAGUCGCGUGAGGGAAGACUGCCCUAUGGGUUGUAAACCUCUUUUGUCAGGGAGCAACGCCGGCGACGAGUAGCCGGACUGAGAGUACCUGAAGAAAAAGCAUCGGCUAACUCCGUGCCAGCAGCCGCGGUAAUACGGAGGAUGCGAGCGUUAUCCGGAUUUAUUGGGUUUAAAGGUUGCGUAGGCGGCAUGCCAAGUCAGCGGUAAAAUCGCGGGGCUCAACCUCGCUCCGCCGUUGAAACUGGCGGUCUUGAGUGGGCGAGAGGUAUGCGGAAUGCGCAGUGUAGCGGUGAAAUGCUUAGAUAUUGCGCAGAACUCCGAUUGCGAAGGCAGCAUACCGGCGGCGAUCUGACGCUGAGGCACGAAAGCGUGGGUAUCGAACAGGAUUAGAUACCCGGGUAGUC
rnacentral:rRNA from 1 species